rnacentral:ncRNA from 1 species
UCGAUAGAGGCGCGUGUUAUCAAGAGUAACAGUGCAUAAACGGUCUGCCAAGACCGCACUGCGAAAGGGAUAUACGCCGAAGAGGUGGUGUGGCUCACCACGCUCUGGUAGACGGAAAUAAUAUUUCGGCUACUGUCGCAGAAAUGCGGAGUGCUAUCA